rnacentral:siRNA from 1 species
ACUAGCAAGAAAAGUGAAUGGCGA